rnacentral:rRNA from 1 species
GACGAACGCUGGCGGCGUGCUUAACACAUGCAAGUCGAACGAUGACGACCGAGCUUGCUCGGUCUGAUUAGUGGCGAGCGGGUGAGUAACACGUGAGCAACCUGCCCUUCACUCUGGGAUAACCUCGGGAAAUCGGGGCUAAUACCGGAUAUGAGCUCCUGUCGCAUGGCGGGUGUUGGAAAGUUUUUCGGUGCAGGAUGGGCUCGCGGCCUAUCAGUUUGUUGGUGAGGUAGUGGCUCACCAAGGCGAUGACGGGUAGCCGGCCUGAGAGGGCGACCGGCCACACUGGGACUGAGACACGGCCCAGACUCCUACGGGAGGCAGCAGUGGGGAAUAUUGCACAAUGGGCGAAAGCCUGAUGCAGCGACGCCGCGUGAGGGAUGACGGCCUUCGGGUUGUAAACCUCUUUCAGCAGGGAAGAAGCGAAAGUGACGGUACCUGCAGAAGAAGCGCCGGCUAACUACGUG